rnacentral:lncRNA from 1 species
ACUGUGGUUAUGACAUAUAUAAGUUUCUUUCUUCAAGCAACGAGGAUUUUAAACAAUAUGUAACAUAGAAAAAAAAAAUGUAAACCAAAAUGAACACAUCGAUGCUGAAAAAAUCUAACCCGAAAACAGAGGAACACGAAACCAUUUUUUUAAUCUUCGAUUACCACCACCACCAGUGAAGAUGACGAAUCAGAAUACUCUAUAUCUUUCUGUCAGAACCAAAUCAAGUAAAUCACAAAACUAUCACAUAGAUGAUAUCGAUGAAAAUUAAACAAAAUUGAUCGAUCUCUUGACCAUAAAAACACGAGGAUUAAAUUAAAUGACAAUCACAAUAAUUGAAUCAAACAACAAAGAAACACAAUUCGUAAAGAGAUGAACUAACAGAACCCUAAAUGAUUGAUAAUCGAAUCAAACAACAAAGAAACACAAUUGGUAAACAGAUCAAUCGACUAAACCCUAAAUUUUUAGUAAUCGAAUCAAGCAACAAAGAAGCACAAUUCGUAAUCAGAUCUAUUGGUGAAACCCUAAAUGUUUAAAAAUCAAAUCAAGCAACUAAGAAACACAAAUUCGUAACCAGAUCUAUUGACGGAACCUUUAAAAAUCGAAUCAAGCAAUUGAGAAACACAAUUCGUAAACAGAGCAAUCGAAGGAACCCCAAAAUGAUUAAACUGACCUUAGAAAUGAUAACCUUAGCGACUGAUUUAGUUAAAGCCAUUGCUAGUGAGUGUUCUAGCACCGACACCAAACUUCUGUAGACAAUUUGCGAAAAGGAGAAAUUUAGGGUUUGAGAAAAAUGAGAGAUAGAUAUGUUACGAUCAUUUCUUCUCACGACCUUUUUCUUUUGUUAUAUAGAGAACUCAAAUUUUGAAAAAGCAAAAUCUCAAGACAAA